UACUACAUCUUUUUCACCAAUGUGCUAGUUUUCACUGAUGUGUCUACUACUCUUGUCAGCCUUUCAUGCUAAAAUUAGAGUUAAUUAUGAGUUUAUAUUUUCAUACAACCUUAUGGCUCAUGCAUUUUUGUUGUAAUGCUUGGAUGAUUAAGGAUACCUGAUAAACACACGUCUAUUUGGUUGUGGAUUUGUCAAAGAAUUUUGUCUAAUAGAAAAUAUUAUAGUAGUUUCUGUAUAUAAUGAAAAGAUACCGGAUUCAUAUACAUCCCAGUGAAGUUGGUUUGGGUAGCUACUUUAGUGAUUGAGUUUGAUGUAAUGCAUAUGACAGAUGAAGUUACCGUGGAUGGCUGCUGUCUGUUGGCGCAAGUAACUAUUCAAAACCCUUAGAACUUGGCCAAUUUGAUGGCUUUAAUCUUUGUGGACGCUAUAUUGAUGAUUUUAUAAUUUUUUAUUUUUGAGAAUUCUUUGUAUGCAAUGGAGUGAGUGCACAAUAGCAAUACCUGGAGCAUUGAGGUGGAGACAGUAGGGUUCCGUUUGUUAAACAAGCAAGACAUCAAAGAGACAUAGAAUGUGAGGAAUCCAGUCAAGGAGAUUUUUUUUUUUUUCUCUUCUUUUACCUUUAUGAAGUAUAUUUAAUGCUAAGGCAGUUGCUAUAUGCAUGCUGCCAUGACAAAUCAACAGCUAACAGAUAGUGGAAACCGGAUGAUGGACAAGACUGAUCAAGCCAUUGGAGGUCAUAAAAGACUGUUCAAGACACCAUCAACGUUGGAACAGAAACUGCAGCUGCACUCAAGGAUCAGACUGAACAAAUGAGUCAGGCUGUUAAGUGUUAAUGAGCUGGACUAUCCAUUUCUCGAUCAAGAAAGCUUCUCAACUUGUGAAGGAACUUGGUAGGCAGGUUGCAACUGAUAGGUGUAUUAUGGCAUUACUCUUCCUAAUUAUUGCCAUUGGAGUCAUAGCUAUCAUUAUUGUAAAGGAGGGACAAUCAUGGCACGGGGAUUGAGGUCCCUAUUGAGGUGGAAAAAAGGAUGCAUAUUUAUUACAUUCGGAACAGAGGGUUUGGUAACAGAUUUAAUGUGUUGGGUGAUGACAAUCAUGGCACUCCGAAUGACUUAACGCAAUGACCCAGAAAUCAAGAAGGCAUGUGACUCAUACAGUGAUCAUUUUGGACAGUUCUUCAAACUGAUAUUCUAUGGCAUCCAAAAGGAGCAGUACUAGUAGAAGUUGGUUGUACAAAGUCAAAGCUUGUGUGCUUGCAUUUAUAGUGACUUGAUGUGAAGAGUGUGGAAGGAAGAAAAGAAGAAAAAUGUGUGAAAUAAAAGGAAAGGCCAUUCGGCCAUGGGUCUCCAGUUUCUACAUGACCACAUUCAUUUUUUUCUAAA